rnacentral:sRNA from 1 species
UGAAUUAUCUUGCGAAAUUGUGAGGUC